CUAAAUAAAUACACCGAUGGAGAAAAAGACCCGAAGGUAUUUCUUUCAUAUUUCACUCGAGCCGUUCCUUCCAUUCACCGCUCCUUGUGCCGAUUGCGCCCAGCACGGUGAAAAAGAAAAUAGCGUUAUUCGCCGGAGUAAAACAGAAAUGUUUACACACUGUCACGUCAGGCGAAACAAAAAGGGACGCAUAACGCGUAACACCUGCAACAACUAACCCAGAUGCCUCGUGUAUUGUUCACCGGAUGGGGCACCACGCGAUACAUGGUGCACGCUAUCUCUUGUUUCUUAUUUUGGAUUUCUCAACUUCUGCCUUGUUUCUUCUUAUUCUAACACUAUGCCUACCAUGAUCAGUC